rnacentral:tRNA from 1 species
GGGGUUGUGGCUUAGCGGUAGAGCGCUUGCCUAGCAUGUGCAAGGCCCUGGGUUCCAUUCCCAGCACCA